AUGAUAAGUAUCUUGGAGAGGAAGAUACAGGUUCCUUUUAAUGUGAUAUGUUAUUGGCAUGCUCCGUGACAUUUUUAGUGUUAGUUAUAGUGAACUACUGGGAUUAAUAAUAUAUAUUAUAUAAAUGUCUUUCUUGAAUUCUUCAUGGCUAUUCAGCCUUGCAACAUUUUGUAUUGGGAUAAUAUUCCUGGGAUACAAAUAUUUUACCAGAGAAUUUAACUAUUGGAAAAAACGAGGUGUGUACACUCCAAAGCCAAUUCCAUUUUUUGGCAAUCUUUACGAUGUUGCCACGUUAAAACUCACUUUAUACGAGUAUGUACAAAAGAUUUACGAUGAGACUGAAGAACCAUAUUUUGGAAUGUUUAUUUUUGAUAAACCGGUUUUGCUGAUUAAAUCACCCAAGUUAAUUAAAGACAUUUUGAUAAAAGAUUUUAACGUGUUUUGUGACAGAACCAUGGCAGAUGUUACUCACCAUAAUCUUAUAUCGAAGUUUAUCUAUCAGCAAAAGUAUCAAACAUGGAAAAGUACAAAGACAAAGAUGUCUUCAGUAUUUAGUUCUGGAAUGAUGAAAACGUUUUUUACGAA
rnacentral:lncRNA from 1 species